AUGCCGGCACGCCUGCUCAUCGAUCUCUGCUCCAUGGAUCACACCCCCAAGGUCGCUUGGAACGUGCGCGGCCUCAACGCGCGCGCUCGCCGCACCGCCAUUCGGUCGCUUGUUGUAACCACCAAUGCAUCGAUCGCCUGCUUCCAAGAAACUAAGAUGCAGUUAGUUUGCUCGUCGGUUGUCCUUGAGACUCUUGGCUCGGAUUUUGACGACUAUGUGUACUUGCCCGCGGACGGGACCCGUGGCGGCAUCCUGUUGGCAUGGAAGAGUAGAGAGGUGGCCAUCACCGAUCCUCUUUUCACUACCAACGCCUUGUCUGCUAAGGUCUCCACCGCGUCUGGAUUCGGCACUCCAUGGUGGCUCACCGUUGUCUACGGGCCCCAACUUGACGACGACAAAGUUGCCUUCAUGCAAGAGCUCCGCGACAUUCGCGACGAGUGCCCCGGACCGUGGAUGUUGUGCGGGGACUUCAACCUCAUAUAUCGCGACGAGGACAAAACAACGGGAAUGUCAACCGCCGCAUGA
rnacentral:rRNA from 1 species